AGUUUGAUCCUGGCUCAGGAUGAACGCUGACAGAAUGCUUAACACAUGCAAGUCAACUUGAAUUUGGGUUUUUAACUUAGGUUUGGGUGGCGGACGGGUGAGUAACGCGUAAAGAACUUGCCUCACAGCUAGGGACAACAUUUGGAAACGAAUGCUAAUACCUAAUAUUAUGAUAAUAGGGCAUCCUAUAAUUAUGAAAGCUAUAAGCGCUGUGAGAGAGCUUUGCGUCCCAUUAGCUAGUUGGAGAGGUAACGGCUCACCAAGGCGAUGAUGGGUAGCCGGCCUGAGAGGGUGAUCGGCCACAAGGGGACUGAGACACGGCCCUUACUCCUACGGGAGGCAGCAGUGGGGAAUAUUGGACAAUGGACCAAGAGUCUGAUCCAGCAAUUCUGUGUGCACGAUGAAGUUUUUCGGAAUGUAAAGUGCUUUCAGUUGGGAAGAAAGAAAUGACGGUACCAACAGAAGAAGUGACGGCUAAAUACGUGCCAGCAGCCGCGGUAAUACGUAUGUCACGAGCGUUAUCCGGAUUUAUUGGGCGUAAAGCGCGUCUAGGUGGUUAUAUAAGUCUGAUGUGAAAAUGCAGGGCUCAACUCUGUAUUGCGUUGGAAACUGUAUAACUAGAGUACUGGAGAGGUAAGCGGAACUACAAGUGUAGAGGUGAAAUUCGUAGAUAUUUGUAGGAAUGCCGAUGGGGAAGCCAGCUUACUGGACAGAUACUGACGCUGAAGCGCGAAAGCGUGGGUAGCAAACAGGAUUAGAUACCCUGGUAGUCCACGCCGUAAACGAUGAGUGCUAAGUGUUGGUCUCAUAAGAGAUCAGUGCUGCAGCUAACGCAUUAAGCACUCCGCCUGGGGAGUACGACCGCAAGGUUGAAACUCAAAG
rnacentral:rRNA from 1 species